rnacentral:rRNA from 12 species
GUACCGUGAGGGAAAGGUGAAAAGCACCCCGAUAAGGGGAGUGAAAUAGUUCCUGAAACCGGAUGCCUACAAGCAGUUGGAGCACCUUUAUGGUGUGACAGCGUACCUCUUGCAUAAUGGGUCAGCGAGUUAGUCUUACAAGCAAGCUUAAGCCGAUAGGUGUAGGCGCAGCGAAAGCGAGUCUUAAUAGGGCGAUUGAGUUUGUGGGAUUAGACCCGAAACCAGGUGAUCUAGCCAUGAGCAGGUUGAAGGUGAUGUAACAGUCACUGGAGGACCGAACCCA